rnacentral:rRNA from 1 species
CCUACGGGAGGCAGCAGUGAGGAAUAUUGGUCAAUGGGCUUACGCCUGAACCAGCCAAGUCGCGUGAGGGAAGACUGCCCUAUGGGUUGUAAACCUCUUUUGUCAGGGAGCAACGCCGGCUACGUGUAGCCGGACUGAGAGUACCUGAAGAAAAAGCAUCGGCUAACUCCGUGCCAGCAGCCGCGGUAAUACGGAGGAUGCGAGCGUUAUCCGGAUUUAUGGGGUUUAAAGGGUGCGUAGGCGGAAUGCCAAGUCAGCGGUAAAAUCGCGGGGCUCAACCUCGCUCCGCCGUUGAAACUGGCGUUCUUGAGGGGGCGAGAGGUAUGCGGAAUGCGUGGGGUAGCGGUGAAAUGCAUAGAUAUCACGCAGAACUCCGAUUGCGAAGGCAGCAUACCGGCGCCCAACUGACGCUGAAGCACGAAAGCGUGGGUAUCGAACAGGAUUAGAUACCCGAGUAGUC